rnacentral:rRNA from 1 species
AGAGUUUGAUCCUGGCUCAGGAUGAACGCUAGCGGGAGGCUUAACACAUGCAAGUCGAGGGGUAAGGCUUUCUUCGGAGAGUACACGACCGGCGAACGGGUGAGUAACGCGUAUGCAACCUGCCUCAAACUGGGAGAUAGCCCGAAGAAAUUCGGAUUAAUAUCCCAUAAUAUCAAGGAUUCACAUGUUUCUUUGAAUAAAGUUCCGACGGUUUGAGAUGGGCAUGCGUGCCAUUAGCUAGUUGGUAAGGUAACGGCUUACCAAGGCAACGAUGGCUAGGGGGUCUGAGAGGAUGAUCCCCCACACUGGUACUGAGACACGGACCAGACUCCUACGGGAGGCAGCAGUGAGGAAUAUUGGUCAAUGGGCGAAAGCCUGAACCAGCCAUCCCGCGUGAAGGAUUGACGGCCCUAGAGGUUGUAAACUUCUUUUCUACAGGAAGAAACAUUGUACGUGUACAAUUAUGACGGUACUGUAGGAAUAAGCAUCGGCUAACUCCGUGCCAGCAGCCGCGGUAAUACGGAGGAUGCAAGCGUUAUCCGGAUUUAUUGGGUUUAAAGGGUGCGUAGGCGGAAUUAUAAGUCAGUGGUGAAAUCUCACAGCUUAACUGUGAAACUGCCAUUGAUACUGUAGUUCUUGAGUAUAGUUGGAGUAGGCGGAAUGUGUCUUGUAGCGGUGAAAUGCAUAGAUAUGACACAGAACACCAAUCGCGAAGGCAGCUUACUAAACUAUCACUGACGCUGAGGCACGAAAGCGUGGGGAGCAAACAGGAUUAGAUACCCUGGUAGUCCACGCCGUAAACGAUGAUUACUCGAUGUAUGCACACUAGUGUAUGCGUCUAGGCUAACGCAUUAAGUAAUCCACCUGGGGAGUACGAUCGCAAGAUUGAAACUCAAAGGAAUUGACGGGGGCCCGCACAAGCGGAGGAGCAUGUGGUUUAAUUCGAUGAUACGCGAGGAACCUUACCUGGGUUUAAAUGCACAGUGACUUUCGGCGAAAGUCGAUUUUCCUUCGGGACACUGUGUAAGGUGCUGCAUGGCUGUCGUCAGCUCGUGCCGUGAGGUGUCGGGUUAAGUCCCAUAACGAGCGCAACCCCUAUUCUUAGUUGCCAGCACAUAAUGGUGGGGACUCUAAGGAAACUGCCAGCGCAAGCUGUGAGGAAGGUGGGGAUGACGUCAAGUCAGCACGGCCCUUAUGUCCAGGGCUACACACGUGCUACAAUGGCAAGAACAGAGGGUAGCUACCUGGUGACAGGAUGCAAAUCUCUAAAUUUUGUCUCAGUUCGGAUCGAAGUCUGCAAUUCGACUUCGUGAAGUCGGAUUCGCUAGUAAUCGCGCAUCAGCAAUGGCGCGGUGAAUACGUUCCCGGGCCCUGUACACACCGCCCGUCAAGCCAUGGAAGUUGGGGGUACCUGAAGUCGAUAACCGCAAGGAGUCGCCUAGGGUAAAACCAAUAACUGGGGCUAAGUCGUAACAAGGUA